GAAAUGCGAUAAGUAAUGUGAAUUGCAGAAUUCAGUGAAUCAUCGAAUCUUUGAACGCACAUUGCGCCCCCUGGUAUUCCGGGGGGCAUGCCUGUUCGAGCGUCAUUUCACCACUCAAGCCUCGCUUGGUAUUGGGCGACGCGGUCCGCCGCGCGCCUCAAAUCGACCGGCUGGGUCUUCCGUCCCCUCAGCGUUGUGGAAACUAUUCGCUAAAGGGUGCUGCGGGAGGUCACGCCGCAAAACAACCCCAUUUCUAAGGUUGACCUCGGAUCAGGUAGGGAUACCCGCUGAACUUAAGC
rnacentral:misc_RNA from 1 species